UCCCUCGCCUUUGCCUACACGGCAGGGUUACUCAGAUUGAGGUUACUGCGUGCUCGUUCGCCAGACUUCAAUUCUGUGUGGACCGCACUGUUUUUUGUCCGCAUUUUUGUUGUUGUUGUUGUAGUUGUGGUAGUAGUUGGUGUUGUUGUGGAUUGUUGGGGCGAUUUCAGCAGCGACGGUUUUGUGAAGCGUCGGGAUGCAAAAGCAGUAGGGAAGGUGUGGGAAGUAGGAGACGAGUGGCGAUGGGGAAUCAAUGUGUCGGGGCGAUUGGCGGGCCUUACAAACAGGAAAAGGCGCAUCACCACGUCGGGCAUGGAAGAGAUGGGGGUGUGCGGGGAGUAGGCCAUGGGCAGGGGCAAAAUCAGCAGCACUAUCGUCAACAGAAUGUGCAAGAGAGGGGAGUGGAGACUACUACAACGAGGACCGCACCGCCUGUGACGAUGCCGAAGCCCCGGCCGGUUAAUGUGGCUGCGGGGACAGUACUCGGGAAACCGCUAUCGGAUGUGCGGAGUGUGUACACGCUAGGAAAGGAGCUUGGGCGAGGGCAAUUCGGCGUGACGUACGCGUGUACGAAUAUUAAGACUGGGGAGCACUUGGCGUGCAAAUCGAUAGCCAAGCGGAAGCUUAUAUCGAAGGAAGAUAUCGAGGAUGUGAGGCGGGAAGUGCAAAUUAUGCACCAUCUAUCUGGAACGCCGAACGUGGUGGAAUUGAAAGGGGUUUUUGAAGAUAAGCAUCACGUGCAUAUUGUGAUGGAGCUGUGUGCAGGCGGAGAGCUCUUUGAUCGUAUCAUCGCCAAGGGGCAUUACAGCGAACGAGCUGCGGCGGCCUUGUGUAGGACGAUUGUUUCGGUUGUCCAUCGGUGCCACUCUUUGAAUGUUUUCCAUCGGGACCUGAAGCCCGAGAAUUUUUUGUUGGCUAAUAAGGCCGAGAACUCAUCUUUGAAGGCCACUGACUUUGGACUCUCUGUAUUUUUCAAGCCUGGAGAAGUCUUUCACGAGAUUGUGGGAAGUGCUUAUUAUGUCGCCCCUGAGGUUUUGCGUCGAAACUAUGGCCCCGAGGCCGAUGUUUGGAGCGCUGGUGUGAUCGUCUACAUCCUUCUGUGCGGAGUGCCGCCAUUCUGGGCGGAGUCGGAGCAGGGCAUCUUCGAUGCGGUGUUGAAGGGAUAUAUUGAUUUCAAAAGCGACCCCUGGCCGAAAGUCUCAGCCGCAGCAAAGGACCUCGUGAGUAAAAUGCUGAAACAGGACCCUAAGGAGCGACUGACAGCUCAAGAGGUUUUGAAACAUCCAUGGAUGAAGGAAGAUGGCGAUGCGCCUGACGAGCCACUUGACAAUGCAGUAUUGACGAGGUUGAAGAACUUCUCGUCUGCUAACAAGAUGAAGAAGUUGGCGCUGCAAGUCAUAGCCCAGAGUUUGUCUGAAGAUGAAAUCAUGGGGUUGAAGGAGAUGUUCAAGGCCAUGGAUACCGACAACAGUGGUACUAUCACGUUUGACGAGUUGAAAGAAGGUCUGCACAGACAGGGCUCUAAGCUUGUGGAAUCUGAUGUGAAGAAGCUGAUGGAAGCAGCGGAUGUUGAUGGCAACGGGAAAAUUGACUUCAGUGAGUUUAUUUCAGCCACUAUGCACAUGAACAAGGUGGAGAAGGAGGACCAUCUGGCUGAAGCGUUCCAGCACUUUGACACAGACGGUAGUGGUUAUAUUACCGUUGAGGAGCUGCAGGAGGCCAUGGCGAAAAAUGGAAUGGGUGAUCCUGAGACGAUCAAUGAGAUAAUCAGGGAGGUGGACACAGACAAUGAUGGAAGGAUUGAUUACGAUGAGUUUGUUGCCAUGAUGCGGAAGGGCAACGAGGUACCGCAAAUGACUACGCGGAGACAUAGGCGAUGAACGCUUUUCCUUUUUGGCUUCACGUUGGAAACCUAACACAGCAGUGUCAAUAGGGCACGUGUGUGAGCAACUUUCUUAACCUUGCAUGUCAAGGUUUCAGUUUGUUUGUGCUGAUCUAACUGCUAUCAGGACCAAUUUUGUGAUAAGUGCAGCAUUCGUGGAUAGGAGAAAUUCUGCCUCUCUUGGCUUCGUGCUCCAACUCAAGUAGGAGGUCCUCAAUUCUUUUUAAUUAAGCUUUGCGUCAGUUUAUGUACAGGAGGAAUCAGCCAUCCACCUAUUGCCACAUAGUUGUUUAUAAUUGAUGGCAGGGUUGAUCCAGUUAGUGAUUUGUAGCUCUCGAUGUUGUUUAUUUGUAUGGAUUUGGUCCCUACGGGAGUGCCCCGAGAUUCAUUGGUAGCUUCUCGGUGUCAAAGCGUGAAAUGUAGCAGGCUCAGAGAGAUACGGUGUAGGGUUUAGUGGGGAGGUACUUCAAUUUUAAGAGAUUUGUCAAAGCAUCAGCUUUGUCGCUUAGCUUCCGUCCAACGCAUAACCCCUGGUUUGCAGUAGGGUUUUAGCAGCUGGGUUGGGAUAAGGUGAGCAUUCCCGCAAAGUCAGUUAGUUCAUGUAGAGGUUCAAGGCUUGUUACCAAGGGGUUUAGUGAAAACUGCACCCCUUUUGCUUUUCAAGGUGAAUUUUAUGACUCGGUUUUCCUGUGAA